rnacentral:misc_RNA from 1 species
GUGAAUCAUCGAAUCUUUGAACGCAUAUUGCACUAUCUGGUAUUCCGGAGAGUAUGCCUAUCUGAGGGUCAUUUGAAAUAAUAUAAAUUCAGAGGUUUUUUUGAAACCAAAAAUGGGUCGCUCCAGCUUUAGCGUGAUGGUCGCAUAAAAUGCAAGACAAGCUCAUUUUUUGGGUUGCGUGAUAC